AACUUUCAACAACGGAUCUCUUGGUUCUGGCAUCGAUGAAGAACGCAGCGAAAUGCGAUAAGUAAUGUGAAUUGCAGAAUUCAGUGAAUCAUCGAAUCUUUGAACGCACAUUGCGCC
rnacentral:rRNA from 1 species